rnacentral:rRNA from 1 species
GACGAACGCUGGCGGCGUGCCUAACACAUGCAAGUCGAACGGGGUGUUCCUUCGGGGACACUUAGUGGCGAACGGGUGAGUAACACGUGGGUAACCUGCCUUAUAGUGGGGGAUAGCCUUUCGAAAGGAAGAUUAAUACCGCAUAAUAUUGUAGUUUCGCAUGAAACAACAAUUAAAGAUUUAUCGCUAUAAGAUGGACCCGCGGCGCAUUAGCUAGUUGGUAAGGUAACGGCUUACCAAGGCGACGAUGCGUAGCCGACCUGAGAGGGUGAUCGGCCACAUUGGGACUGAGACACGGCCCAGACUCCUACGGGAGGCAGCAGUGGGAUAUUGCACAAUGGGGGAAACCCUGAUGCAGCAACGCCGCGUGAGUGAUGACGGUCUUCGGAUUGUAAAGCUCUGUCUUUAGGGACGAUAAUGACGGUACCUAAGGAGGAAGCCACGGCUAACUACGUG